rnacentral:rRNA from 1 species
GCAGCGCGUGGUGCUGGAUACCACGUUCAAGCGUCAAGUCUGAGAGCGAGUCAAAUGCUUGCUCUCAUAAGGACAAGUCGUGAUGAGGAGCGAAUUUAAAGUAGCGAAGGCUGCGACGUCACACUGCCGAGAAAAGCUUCUAGCCAGAGACGGUGCACCCGUACCGCAAACCGACACAGGUAGUCGAGGAGAGUAUCCUCAGGUGAGCGAGAGAACUCUCGUUAAGGAACUCGGCAAAAUGGCCCCGUAACUUCGGGAGAAGGGGCGCUGGUCGCAAGAUCAGCCGCAGUGAAAAGGCCCAAGCAACUGUUUAUCAAAAACACAGGCAUCUGCAAAAUCGUAAGAUGAAGUAUAGGUGCUGACACCUGCCCGGUGCUGGAAGGUUAAGAGGAGAGCUUAGCGCAAGCGAAGGUUUGAAUUGAAGCCCCAGUAAACGGCGGCCGUAACUAUAACGGUCCUAAGGUAGCGAAAUUCCUUGUCGGGUAAGUUCCGACCUGCACGAAAGGUGUAAUGAUUUGGGCACUGUCUCAACGAGAGACUCGGUGAAAUUAUAAUACCCGUGAAGAUGCGGGUUACCCGCGACAGGACGGAAAGACCCCAUGGAGCUUUACUGCAGUUUAAUAUUGGGUAUCUGUCAAGCAUGUACAGGAUAGGUAGGAGCCGGAGAAGAUAGGACGCCAGUCUUAUCAGAGGCGCUGUUGGGAUACUACCCUUGCUUGACGGAUGCUCUAACUCAGG